rnacentral:lncRNA from 1 species
UAAUUGUAUAUAUGUAUCCUAAUUGGAUUAUGGAUAUCCGAAGUCGUGCUUCGCUUGUCUUCUUUUAGUCUGCGGUAGUACUUAUCUUUUUAUUUAUGUAACAAAAAGAACUUUAGAUUUGAGAUGUAGAAAUAGCAUCUACACCUAACCUUUUGAAUGUGAUAUAAAAUUCGAAGAGACAUUAAAUAAUAUAUAAAGGGUUAGGAUCAAUCCACUAAUCACCGAUUGGUUUUAAGUUGGAAUCUCAUAAUAAACUCAAAUUUAUCAUAAUAUCAGAGUCCAUAUCCUAAAUACCCUAAACUCCUAAUUAAAAUUAAAAUUAACCUUUCCAACAGGGUAUAAAGAUCGUGAUUAACCCUUCCAACCGUGUAUAAAGGUUCUGUUAAACUUGCUCGACCGAGUAUAAAUAUCCUAAAGUUCUGAGAUUUCUGGUUGAUAAGAGCCAUCAUCUCGUGGAGGAGAUUAGGGAUAUAUAUCCCACAUCGGAAAUUCUAAGAGACAUUAAGUAAUAUAUAAAGAGUUAGAAUCAACACUAAUUACCAAUUGGUUUUAAGUUGGAAGCCCAUAAUAAACCCGAAUUUAACAUCAUUGAAAUUUAUUGUGAAUUUAAUAUACAUAACCUUCUGAUAAACUCAACAGAUUAUCAAGAUAUUGUACCAAAGGUUUUAGUAGUGAGGGAUCACUUCAAAUAUGUAUUGUGUAGACUGAGGAGUUAUGUAUGCACUUGUUCAUUGGUCAAUCCAGCGAUCAUCA